rnacentral:rRNA from 1 species
CGACCGGCGCACGGGUGAGUAACACGUAUGAAACCUGCCCGUAGCAGGGGGAUAAGCGGAAGAAAUUCCGUCUAAUACCGCGUAACAACCCAUGGAGGCAUCUCUGUGGGUUUAAAGGAAGCGAUUCCGGCUACGGAUGGUCAUGCGUCGCAUUAGCUUGUUGGCGGGGUAACGGCCCACCAAGGCGACUAUGCGUAGGGGUUCUGAGAGGAAGGUCCCCCACACUGGUACUGAGACACGGACCAGACUCCUACGGAAGGCAGCAG